rnacentral:rRNA from 1 species
UACGUAGGGAGCAAGCGUUGUCCGGAAUCAUUGGGCGUAAAGCGCGCGUAGGCGGCCCCGUCAGUCCGCUGUGAAAGUCAAAGGCUCAACCUUUGAAAGCCGGUGGAUACUGUGGGGCUAGAGUCCGGAAGAGGCGAGUGGAAUUCCUGGUGUAGCGGUGGAAUGCGCAGAUAUCAGGAGGAACACCAAUAGCGAAGGCAGCUCGCUGGGACGGUACUGACGCUAAGGCGCGAAAGCGUGGGGAGCGAACAGG